rnacentral:rRNA from 1 species
AGCUCCAAUAGCGUAUAUUAAAGUUGUUGCGGUUAAAAGCUCGUAGUUGGAUUUCUGUCUAAAGCGGCCGGUCUCCACUAUGUGGGUGUAUCUGGUUCGGUUUGGGCAUCCUCUUGGGGAACGGUUCUGCGCUUGAUUGCGUGGGCCGGAAUUCAAGACUUUUACUUUGAGGAAAUUAGAGUGUUCACGGCAAGCUAUCGCUUUGAAUAUGUUAGCAUGGAAUAAUAAUAUAGGGCGUGAGUUCUAUUUUGUUGGUUUCUAGGAUUUACGCAAUGAUUAAUAGGGACAAUUGGGGGCACUUGUAUUAAGGCGUCAGAGGUGGAAUUCUUAGAUUGCCUUACGACAAACUACUGCGAAAGCAUUGCCAAGGAUGUUUUCA